GCAUAUUAUAGCGACGCACCACGGUCACGCUGCUCAAAGUGAAACGGCCAAACGAAGAAGACGUAUCGUGUGUGCUCAGACUUGUGCUCUCAGAAUUUUGGUCAUCUACAUUCACCUCUCUGUUUAGAGUAAAAGGACAACAACAAACACAAAUCACAAGCAAUCAACUAAGAAAUAAAUCAAAGAAAAGUGUGUUGAAAUUGUUCAUAAAAAGAUAGAUUCUAAAUCUGAAUCGAAAACGAAAACCAGCAAAGAGAGAGCAGCGAAAAGUUAACAGCGAAUUCAGCGGCAGAAGCAGAGCAGCGGAGCACAAGUGCAAGCGAGACGGCAGCCGAGCUCCGCUGCAAGGCAACGGGAUAGAAAGAGAUAGCGCGCAGCAACAGAGAGAGAGGGCGAGAGCGAACGAGAGAGAGCAGCAGCAGCGUCGGCCGCCACAGCAACAAAGCCACAAAAGAGAGCUGGAGAGAGAGAGAGGGGGAGAGAACUAGACGACGCGACGACCUACUACAAAAAAGUUGUAUUUUGUGGUAUAUCUUAGUUAAUACAUCUAUUGUACGCCUAGUUUAGUUUUAAGUGAAAAUCGAACAUCGAAAAAAUCGCAAAGCAAAUAAUGUAACUUGCUCUCUUUCUCUCUCCCCCCUCGCACACUUCCUCUAGCUCUCUCGCUCUCGCUCACAUUUCAUAACUCGUUUCGCAUAAAUUUCAUCCUCCAUUUAUUAUUUAACUCAUUGUUUUUCUUUCGCUUCAUUGAGACUCAAAAUUUUUAAAAUUCCAAUCAAAUCAAAUCAUUACGAAUUUCGAUUUGCAGCUUUGUAGCUCACUUUCAUUGAAACCACAAAGAAAAAUUGAGAGAGAGUGUGACCACUUAACAGUAACGAGGGCUGUUAUUAACAUUUCAGCGGUGCGUUAAAAAA